rnacentral:misc_RNA from 1 species
GUUCACCCUUACCGCUUUAUUUGUUAUCUUGCCUUUUCGUUUGCCCCUUGCUUUUUUCGCGUUUAUCCCCGAGCCAAAGCUUCCUCAGCGCAUAAAAAGGUUCGUUUUUGUCGCCUAUUUACACCCAGUGUGGCGCAUACGCCCGCGGGCUCCUGGGCCGCAUGCCCUUCCCGGCGUUUUCCCCUCCCGAGGUUCUGAAGGCUGUUUUCCUUAUGGGCGCGCACCUUUUCCCCACCCACACACGAAGACACCGACGGGUCACGCGAUCCUCCGAAUUUGAUCAGCCGGCCGUUUCCCGAUUCCUGGGUGGUAUGGGGUUAUCCGCUUUAAAAGGUGGGCCGUCGAAAGCGCCGGGGCCCGCCCUGAAAGCAACGGCCUUGCUGCCCCCCCUCCUUCCAAACAAGGCCCGGUCAUGGGAAAGAAAAGGGCCGCCCCCACCAUUUGGCCCCGCGAAGGGGAUCAUGCCCCAAACACCCCGAAAUGGAGCGAAAGCCGGGAAGGAUCGCAGCCCACCCAAGGGGAUUAUCUUUGCUUGGCCGUUUGCAUGCUAAAUUUAUUUUCGACUCUUUCCGUCAGCCGCUCUCUGGGCGCGGGAAAAGGAGGGAAAGCGGCGCCCGAGGGCCGUGGCGAAGGAGGGCGGCGGGUCCCCAUGAAAAGAAAGCAGGCGGAACUAGCGAGCCCAUCAGCAAUGCGCCUGGCCAGGGGGAAAAGAGAACCAGCCGUAUGCAAACAAAGGCGCGCCGCGAAGCCUCAAAAG